rnacentral:rRNA from 1 species
GCCAGACUCCUACGGGAGGCAGCAGUGGGGGAUAUUGCACAAUGGGGGAAACCCUGAUGCAGCGACGCCGCGUGAGCGAUGAAGUAUUUCGGUAUGUAAAGCUCUAUCAGCAGGGAAGAAAAUGACGGUACCUGACUAAGAAGCCCCGGCUAACUACGUGCCAGCAGCCGCGGUAAUACGUAGGGGGCAAGCGUUAUCCGGAUUUACUGGGUGUAAAGGGAGCGUAGACGGCGGCGCAAGCCAGAUGUGAAAGCCCGGGGCUCAACCCCAGGACUGCAUUUGGAACUGCGCGGCUGGAGUGCAGGAGGGGCAGGCGGAAUUCCUGGUGUAGCGGUGAAAUGCGUAGAUAUCAGGAGGAACACCGGUGGCGAAGGCGGCCUGCUGGACUGCGACUGACGUUGAGGCCCGAAAGCGUGGGGAGCAAACAGGAUUAGAUACCCCGGUA